CAGCCGGUCUCGCGAAUGCCUUAGAUUUAAGUUUGAUCCUGGCUCAGCUGAGCGCUACGGCGUGCCUAAUACAUGCAACGCUCGAGCGAAUGGAUUAAGAGCUUGCUCUAUAUGAAGUAUAGCGGCAGGACGGGUGAGUAACACGUGGGUAACCUGCCCAUAAGACUGGGAUAACUCCGGGAAACCGGGGCUAAUACCGGAUAACAUUUUGAACCGCAUGGUUCGAAAUUGAAAGGCGGCUUCGAGCUGUACACUUAUGGAUGGACCCGCGUCGCAUUAGCUAGUUGGUGAGGUAACGGCUCACCAAGGGCAACGAUAGCGUAGCCGACCUGAGAGGGUGAUCGGACAACACUGGGACUGAGACACGGACCAAGANUCCUACAGUGGAGGCAGCACGUUAAGGGAAUCUUCCUGCAAUAGGACGAAAGUCUGACGGAGACAAACGCCGCGAU
rnacentral:rRNA from 1 species